UACGUAGGGUGCGAGCGUUGCCCGGAUUUAUUGGGCGUAAAGGGCGCGUAGGCGGCCACGCACGUCCGUUGUGAAAUCGCCCGGCUCAACUGGGCGGGGUCGGCGGAUACGGCGUGGCUGGAGCAAGCUAGGGGGCAAUGGAAUUCCCGGUGUAGUGGUGGAAUGCGUAGAUAUCGGGGAGGAACACCAGUGGCGGAAGGCGGAGUGGUCCUGGAC
rnacentral:rRNA from 1 species